AUACGGAGGACGCGAGCGUUAUCCGGAUUCAUUGGGUUUAAAGGGUGCGUAGGCGGUUUGCUAAGCGGGAGGUGAAAUGCCGGCGCUCAACGUCGGAAGUGCCUCCCGAACUGGUGGACUUGAAUGACUCUGCCGUGGGAGGAAUGUGUAGUGUAGCGGUGAAAUGCUUAGAGAUUACACAGAACACCGAUUGCGAAGGCAUCUCACGAAGGGUUGAUUGACGCUGAGGCACGAAAGCGUGGGGAUCAAACAGGAUUAGAUACCCUGGUAGUCCACGCAGUAAACGAUGAUGGCUAACCGCUGGGCUUAUCAGUUCAGUGGCCAAGCGAAAGCGAUAAGCCAUCCACCUGGGGAGUACGACCGCAAGGUUGAAACUCAAAUGAAUUGGCGGGG
rnacentral:rRNA from 1 species